CGAACGGGUGAGUAACACGUGGGCAACCUGCCCAAANAGGGGGAUAACACUUGGAAACAGGUGCUAAUACCGCAUAACCAUAGUUACCGCAUGGUAACUAUGUAAAAGGUGGCUAUGCUACCGCUUUUGGAUGGGCCCGCGACGCAUUAGCUAGUUGGUGGGGUAAAGGCUUACCAAGGCAAUGAUGCGUAGCCGAACUGAGAGGUUGAUCGGCCACAUUGGGACUGAGACACGGCCCAAACUCCUACGGGAGGCAGCAG
rnacentral:rRNA from 1 species